ensembl:lncRNA
UGUUUUGUUUUUCGGCUGUACCACAUGGCAUAUGGGGUCUUAGUUCCAGAACCGAGGAUUGAAUCUGUGCCCCCUGCAGUGGAAGCACAGAUUCUUAAUCGCUGAACCACUGGGAAAUCCCCAGACGUUUGUUUUUCAAAACCUACCAGGAGGAAGCAUGAACGCAGUUCCUCCCUACUACAAAUUAUGCAGCCGAGUUCCCCACGUUUGGGGAAAUGGCAGGGGUCAGCACACCUGGAGUGCAAUGGAUGAGCCUUGCCCUGGGAAAACCACCUUCAUGCUCAUGGUAUCUCCCCUGCUGCUAACCCACAAUGUGACACGUAUGUAUAUACAAAGUGACACGUAUGUAUAUAAACCUUAAAUUGUUUAAGAUCUAAGUGAGCUGUGUUACUGCAUUAUGGGGAACAACAUUAACGAGUAUAUUUCAUGUCUGUUUCACAGCUAACUACUACUGUAUUUCCAGAUGAGCCAAUAUUUCCACGUGACAGAUACACAUCUCUUUUUCUCUUAAUUACUCCACCAAUGCUGAGUGUUAUAAUUAUCACUUGGGCCAACGGCAAAUACCCUCAUUUAUUUACUUUGAAAUGAUACAAUCCAGGGAGGAAAAAAAUCCUCAUUCGAACACGGUAUUUUUUGUUUUAGUAACAACUGGGUAUAUUUCUGUUUGCAGCAAACCCUUACUCAAAAGAAGAAAUGGUUCAUCUUUACAUUCCACUUUUUAAGCAGCAGCACCGUUUCCAAGCUGCCACAGCUGUGACUUGCAGUGAGUCAGCUCUAUCCCCCGUACGCCUCAGCUUCUAAAUAUGUAAAGUGACAAAGCCAGAUCUGGGUUUAAGGAGACCAAAGAGAUGUAAACAUUAAUUCCAGGGCAGAAGACCUGAAUAUACAUUUUUCCAAAGAAGACAUAGAAAUGGCUAUUUGGCAUGUGAAAAGAUACUCAGCAUCACUAAUCACUGCAUGUGUGCUCAGCCACUUCAGUCGUGUCUGACUCUUUGUGACCCUGUGGACUGUAGCCCACCAGGCUCCUCUGUCCAUGGAAUUCUCCAGGCAAGAAUACUGGAGUGGGUUGCCAUGCCCUACUCCAGGGGAUCUUCCCAACCCAGGGAUCAAACCUGCAUCUCUUACGUCUCCUGCAUUGACAGGUGGAUUCUUUACCACUAGUGCCACCUGGGAAGCCCCACUAAUCAUUACAGAAUCAUUAUAGAAAUGUAAAUUAAAACCACAGUGAGAUAUCACCUCACACCUGUCAGAAUAGCUAUCAUCAAAAGUAUAGUACAGAUAACAAAUUUUGACAAGGACGUGGAGAAAAGGGAAUACUUGUGCGUUGUUGGCGGGAAUGUAAACUAGUGCAGCCGUUGUGGAAAACGGUAUGGCAGCGUCUCAAAAAAACUGUAUAUAUAUAUUGCUGUAUGACUCAGCAGUUCCACUCCUGGAUUUACAUCCAAAGAAAACAAAAACACUAAUUCAAAAAGACAUGCAUCCCGAUGUUCAUAGCAGCAUUAUUUGUAACAGCCAAGAUAAGGAAACAACCUACAUGUCCAUCAAUAGAUGAAUGAAUGAAGAAGAUGUGGUCCACGUAUACACAAUGGAACACUACCCAGCCAUACAAGAAGAAGGAAAUUCUGCCAUCUGCACCAACAUGAAUGGACGGCGGCACGCCAGGUUUCCCCUGUCCUUCACAAUCUUCUGGAGUUUGCUCAAACUUGUGACCACUGAGUCGGUGAUGCCAUCCAACCAUCUCAUCUUCUGUCAUCCCCUUCUCCUCCUGCCUUCAGUCUUUCCCAGCAUCAGGGUCUUCUCCAAUGGGUUGGCUCUUCGCAUCAGGUGGUCAGAGUAUUGGAACUUCAGCUACAGUCCUUCCAAUGAAUAUUCAGGGUUGAUUUCCUUUAGGAUUGACUGGUUUGAUCUCCUUGAUGUCCAAGGGAUUCGUCAAAUAUAUGUAGAAUCUAAGAAAUAAAGCAAACAAGUGUAUAACAAAACAGAUGCAGAGAACAAAGUAGUGGUUACUAGUGGGGAUAAAGAGGGGAAGGGGCAUGGGAUUAAGAGGUUCAAACUACUGUGUAUGAAAUAAAUAAGCAACAAGUAUAUAUUAUACAACACAGAGAAAUAUAGGCGUUAUUUUGUAAUACCAAAUGGAACAUAAUUUGUAAAAAAAUUGAAUUACUAUGUUGAACAUGUA